GUGCAUAUAAUAUGUGAUUUGAAGUGAUAUGCAUGACAAAAACUGGYAAUUUCAAAAGUAAACAAGAAAAAGGAAAAUUUCACUCCUGGAAAAUUGAGAAGUAAAACUAAAUCUGCUUAAGAUGGACAAAAUAUCAAUCACCACGGGAACCAACAAUGCUCAGGACUGCCUUGAACUGGAAGCUGCAACAAUACUGUCACAGUAUGGUGGAGUGAUCAGAACUGAACUGASAGACAUUUCCAACAACAAAUAACAUCAGCCUGCAUAGAGGAGUCAACAUGAGGCUUUUCAAACUAAGGACUCUGUAAAACAUGGUGAAGUUCAUUAAAUGCAGCUGAAUAUCA